CACUCUUGGUUCUUUUUGGAAUUGAAAAUAUUUUUAUUAUGUGGUCCAUCGAUUCAAAAGGAUUCAUCAUCUCUAAAAUACAUCAAUUCACAAGUUGGAAAAAAUGAUAAUUAAAUUAAUUUUUGUCAAUAAUGCAAGUUUCAAAAGUUCUAUUCAACGGUCGUCAAAAUCGUUUGUCCUCGUCAUUCUAUUUCGAACUUUUCUUGGUGACGGUUGUUUUUUCGAACGUUUUUUUCAGGUU